rnacentral:rRNA from 1 species
GACAGAGGGGCAAGCGUUGCUCGGAAUUACUGGGCGUAAAGGGCGCGUAGGCGGGAUGGCAAGUCGGUCGUGAAAUCCCUCGGCUCAACCGAGGAACGUCGAUCGAUACUGCUGUUCUUGAGGACUGCAGAGGAGACUGGAAUUCCCGGUGUAGCGGUGAAAUGCGCAGAUAUCAGGAGGAACACCGGUGGCGAAGGCGGGUCUCUGGGCCGAUAUUGACGCUGAGGCGCGAAAGCGUGGGUAGCAAACAGG